rnacentral:rRNA from 1 species
AGAGUUUGAUCAUGGCUCAGACUGAACGCUGGCGGCAUGGCUAAAACAUGCAAGUCGAACGUGCCCGCAAGGGCAAGUGGCGGAAGGGUGAGUACAAGCAUCGAAUGUGCCCCGAGGUGGGGGAUAGGUCAUCGAAAGGUGGCGUAAUACCCCAUGAUGUCCACGGACCAAAGAUUUAUCGCCUUGGGAGCAGCGAUGUACCUAUCAGGUAGUUGGCGGGGUAAAGGCCCACCAAGCCGAAGACGGGUAGCCGGCGUGAGAGCGCGGCCGGCCACAUCGGGACUGAGACACUGCCCGGACUCCUACGGGAGGCUGCAGUAACGAAUAUUCCGCAAUGCACGAAAGUGUGACGGAGCAAUGCCGCGUGUGGGAUGAAGUAACUUCGUUAUGUAAACCACUGUCAGGGGCGAGGAAUCAUGACCAGCCCCAGAGGAAGGACCGGCUAAUCUCGUGCCAGCCGCCGCGGUAAUUC